ACAACAGCAAAACGCAGACUAGCAGACACUGAGGGUGCGCGUCCCGGAGAUCUGUGAGUGACCAGCGUGUUUGGAGAGCUGUCUUCGGCGCGUAAUGGAAAGGCUGCACUCCAGCUGCUAAUCAGAGGAAACAUGUGGGCAAAAUGCCUUAUCAAGAGCAAUAGCACUAACACAGAGACAAUCUACCAAAUAAUUUAAAAAAUGCUGAGAGAUAGACGUUGCAUUGUGAAGACGAACAACUCAGAAA